rnacentral:rRNA from 1 species
AAAGGCUGGGCUGUGAUGGGGAGGGAAAUUUAAGUACCGAAGGUCAUGAGUUCACACUGCCAAGAAAAGCUUCUAGCCAGGCGAAGGUGCCCGUACCGCAAACCGACACAGGUGGGUGAGAAGAGAAUUCUAAGGCGCGCGGAAGAACUCUCGUUAAGGAACUCGGCAAAAUGACCUCGUAACUUCGGGAGAAGAGGUGCCUCGGUAGGGUGAAUAGCCCGAGGGGGCCGCAGUGAAAAGGCCCAAGCGACUGUUUAGCAAAAACACAGGUCUGUGCGAAGCCGCAAGGCGAAGUAUACGGGCUGACGCCUGCCCGGUGCUGGAAGGUUAAGAGGAGUGGUUAGGGGCAACCCGAAGCUAUGAAUUGAAGCCCCAGUAAACGGCGGCCGUAACAAUAACGGUCCUAAGGUAGCGAAAUUCCUUGUCAGGUAAAUUCUGACCCGCACGAAUGGCGUAACGACUUGGGCGCUGUCUCAACGAGAGAUCCGGUGAAAUUUUAAUACCUGUGAAGAUGCAGGUUACCCGCGACAAGACGGAAAGACCCCAUGGAGCUUUACUGCAGCUUGAUAUUGGACUUUGGUACGAUCUGUACAGGAUAGGUGGGAGCCUUUGAAGCCUGAGCGCCAGCUUGGGUGGAGGCAUCGUUGGGAUACCACCCUGAUCGUAUCGGAGUUCUAACCUAGUACCGUUACCCGGUAUGGGGACAGUGUCAGGUGGGCAGUUUGACUGGGGCGGUCGCCUCCUAAAAUGUAACGGAGGCGUUUAAAGGUUCCCUCAGAAUGGUUGGAAAUCAUUCGCAGAGUGCAAAGGCAUAAGGGAGCUUGACUGCGAGACCUACAAGUCGAGCAGGGACGAAAGUCGGACUUAGUGAUCCGGUGGUACCGAAUGGAAGGGCCAUCGCUCAACGGAUAAAAGCUACCCUGGGGAUAACAGGCUUAUCUCCCCCAAGAGUCCACAUCGACGGGGAGGUUUGGCACCUCGAUGUCGGCUCAUCGCAUCCUGGGGCUGAAGUAGGUCCCAAGGGUUGGGCUGUUCGCCCAUUAAAGCGGUACGCGAGCUGGGUUCAGAACGUCGUGAGACAGUUCGGUCCCUAUCUGUCGCGGGCGUAGGAAAUUUGAGAGGAGCUGUCCUUAGUACGAGAGGACCGGGAUGGACGUACCGCUGGUGUACCAGUUGUCUCGCCAGAGGCAUCGCUGGGUAGCUAUGUACGGAGGGGAUAAGCGCUGAAAGCAUCUAAGCGCGAAGCCCCCCUCAAGAUGAGAUUUCCCAGUAUGUAAGACCCCUUGUAGACGACGAGGUUGAUAGGUUCGAGGUGGAAGUGCGGCAUUAUGCAGCUGACGAAUACUAAUCGGUCGAGGGCUUAACC